CCUACGGGGGGCUGCAGUGGGGAAUAUUGCACAAUGGGCGCAAGCCUGAUGCAGCCAUGCCGCGUGUGUGAAGAAGGCCUUCGGGUUGUAAAGCACUUUCAGCGGGGAGGAAGGCGUUAAGGUUAAUAACCUUGUCGAUUGACGUUACCCGCAGAAGAAGCACCGGCUAACUCCGUGCCAGCAGCCGCGGUAAUACGGAGGGUGCAAGCGUUAAUCGGAAUUACUGGGCGUAAAGCGCACGCAGGCGGUCUGGCAAGUCGGAUGGGAAAUCCCCGGGCUCAACCUGGGAACUGCAUUCGAAACUGGCAGGCUAGAGUCUUGUAGAGGGGGGUAGAAUUCCAGGUGUAGCGGUGAAAUGCGUAGAGAUCUGGAGGAAUACCGGUGGCGAAGGCGGCCCCCUGGACAAAGACUGACGCUCAGGUGCGAAAGCGUGGGGAGCAAACAGGAUUAGAUACCCUAGUAGUC
rnacentral:rRNA from 1 species